GACGAACGCUGGCGGCGUGCUUAACACAUGCAAGUCGAACAGAAAGGCCCUGCUUUUGUGGGGUGCUCGAGUGGCGAACGGGUGAGUAACACGUGAGUAACCUGCCCUUGACUUUGGGAUAACUUCAGGAAACUGGGGCUAAUACCGGAUAGGAGCUCCUGCUGCAUGGUGGGGGUUGGAAAGUUUUGGCGGUUGGGGAUGGACUCGCGGCUUAUCAGCUUGUUGGUGGGGUAGUGGCUUACCAAGGCUUUGACGGGUAGCCGGCCUGAGAGGGUGACCGGCCACAUUGGGACUGAGAUACGGCCCAGACUCCUACGGGAGGCAGCAGUGGGGAAUAUUGCACAAUGGGCGGAAGCCUGAUGCAGCAACGCCCCGUGCGGGAUGACGGCCUUCGGGUUGUAAACCGCUUUCGCCUGUGACGAAGCGUGAGUGACGGUAAUGGGUAAAGAAGCACCGGCUAACUACGUG
rnacentral:rRNA from 1 species